GUCCUGUUAUGAAAAAGGAUAGAUGGGAAUUAUGGUUCUGUGCAGAAGGAGUGGGGGUGGAGAAGCACUUUCAGUGCUGAAAUGGUUCACUGUCUACGCAACAAUCCUGGAUUUUUCUUUCUUCCCACUUCGGCCAGGAGGAAAAAAGAAAAGAAACUGAGGGCAGACCUCUGAAGAAUUAUCUGCGGCAGCCAGAGACUUCCAUUCCAACCUUCCCUGAGCACAGUCUGUACUGGUGAUGUCACUUUUUAGUGACCUUUGGAAGUUGCUCAGGGCUGCUUCUGGCUCCUUUUAUCGUUAUUACAG